GUCUGCGCAUGCGCGAGCGGGUGACGUAAGCGGAAGGGUGCGUCAGUGGCCUGAGGGGCUGAGGCGUUGCCGCCAGGACAGGUAGCGGGCGGUGGGCCGGGGCCGGUGUCGGUGCCGAGGCAAGGAAAAGGAGUUCUUGGUAAGACAUGUCGUGGAUCAGAGAAGGCGAGCUGACCAUCAUUGAGAGGUUUUGUGCCAACAUAAUUAAGGCAGGUCCAAUGCCCAAGCAUGUUGCCUUCAUCAUGGAUGGCAAUCGCCGUUAUGCCCAGAAGUGUCAUGUGGAGAGGCAGCAAGGACAUUCACAGGGUUUUGAUAAGCUGGCACAGACAUUGCGGUGGUGUUUAAAUCUGGGUAUUCGGGAGGUCACUGUUUAUGCCUUUAGUAUUGAGAACUUUAAACGAUCCAAGGAGGAGGUGGAUGGACUAAUGGAUCUGGCAAGACAGAAAUUUAGCCGCCUACUGGAAGAACAGGAGAACCUGAAGAAGCAUGGUGUGUGUAUCCGUGUCCUUGGGGAUUUGCCACUUCUACCCCUGGAUAUUCAGGAACUGAUUGCCCAAGCUGUGAUGGCAACCAGGAACUACAACAAGUGCUUUCUAAAUGUCUGCUUUGCAUACACAUCAAGACAUGAAAUCAGCAACGCUGUCAGGGAGAUGGCCUGGGGGGUGGAGCAAGGACUGCUUGAACCCAGUGACGUGUCUGAAUCAUUGCUUGAUAAGUGUCUGUACACCAGCAACUCCCCUGACCCAGACCUCCUGAUUCGAACCUCUGGAGAGGUCCGGUUGAGUGAUUUCCUGCUCUGGCAGACAUCCCAUUCAUGCCUGGUGUUUCAGUCAGUGCUGUGGCCAGAAUAUUCCUUUUGGAACUUGUGUGAGGCUAUCCUUCGGUUCCAGAUGAACUAUAAUGCAUUACAGAAGGCCAGAGACUCCUACAUGGAGGAAAGGAAGCAACAACAGAUGGAAAGGGAUCAGGCUUAUGUGACAAAGAAGCUGCAGCAGGAGGGUUUUGCAUCCCAUGGAGACUCUCGGCGCCGACGGACACUGUUGCAAAAAUGCACUGCCAUGCGGGAAGAGAGAAUCCAGGGCUUUCUACAGGCGCUAGAGCACAAGAGAGCGGACUUCUUUGAAAGAUUGUGUACAGUGUCUGCAUGACAUAAAUGCUGGGUGGUUCUUGGGAAGGCAAUGUUUAAUCAUGUUAGAAUAGCUGCUGCCCGGAGGAAUUCACUUGGUGUGGUUCUGCUGUGGGGAUGCAGGGCUGCCAUAGGAAAUGGAAUCCCCACUGGCACUAUCCAAGGGCAAGGACAGAGUACUGUGAACCUUUCUAGUUCUGUGAAUGCUGCUGAGGGAGGUAAUGCCGUCCUUCUAUCUUGCCUCCCUGUCCCUGUUGAUAGAGGGAGCAUAUGUGCACCUCACUGUCUCCACUGCUUGGUGUUUUGAUGACAAGGAAUUAACUAAAACAAGCCUCUUGUUCUGUUGGGCUCCUCAUGAAUUAGCUCAGGCAAACCAUUUCAGUCAUGUUACGUCAGCCUGGACUUGAAUUCUUUGUGACUUUGUAGUAGUGAAUCUUCUGGUGAGAUUUCUCUGUGUUCCCAUCCAAUUCCUUCCUCAACAGAGAGGAUUGUUCCUGGUAUGUAAGAGAGCCCUGUGCCAAGCACUGGUAGAGAUACUCCCUGCUGCCUGCUUCAGGAUAGCAUCUUGCCUUUUCCCCACCUUACUAUGCUGGUUUUGGUAUAUCUGAUCUUGGCUUCCAAAGAGGUAAAGCAAGAUGUUGUCAGCCUUGCCAUAAAGGAAAAAAAAGAUAUGUCAGAACUUGAUCAGGUCCUGCGAUCCUUUCCCAGCAGUGUGGGAUGGGGAAAAACCCAAAUGCAGAAGAUGAUGUUGAAACAGAGUGUGUUGAGGAAAGGGGGAAUAGUCCAAAGAGGCGAGGAAAAAACAAUUGGUUAGGAAUUAAUGUCAUGGCUUACAAAGGAAAAGUUAGCCAAAACCAGGUGAUAGGAACAGUAUGCCAAAUUCCUCUGAGAUGUCUCUAGAGCUAGGACUUCACAUCCAUUUCCAGGGAAUGAGGGUGGGAAUACAAGAAUACAGUAGCCAAAACCAACCUCUGACCGCAGCCAAAAUGGUCUAAGUGCUAUAUAGCUGACUUCAAUGGGAGUGGCCAGAGCAGCUGUGGAGUGCUACUUCUCAAGUCUCUGUCAGUGCAGAGGUGGACUAGCUAGUUUCCAGGAUUGAUUCUGUCUCUAAUUUUUCCUGGUUUCCGUCCCUACAGUGGAAAACAUAACAGGAAAUGUUUCUGAUGCAUAUACAGGUGCAGCAGUAUCAGCUAUUGCUGUUUUUCAAGUGUUCUUUUUUUUUUUACCUCCAGGUGAAAAUGAGAAAAUGCAAACUUAAAAGACUUUUACGUACUGCAAACUCAGCAUUUUGAAUGUGAUUGUGAAGAGGAUAACUACAUUGUCAAACAGUGAAUAAAGCUGGGGAAGAUUUGAUGGCUGCAUUCGUCGUACCAUCAUGUGAGCAACAUGCUGAUAUCCCAAGAUCUGGCUGAGUGAGACUCUGUGCACAUGCAUCCUCUCAUCUCUUCCUGGCAAAAGAAGAGAGAGGGGGAGUGAGAAGUUAUCCUUCCUAUUCCCGGAGCGCUCCGCAGGAGGCCGGCAGCAGUGGUGCCCCGAGCCGCGGAGCUGCGGCCCCGCGCCUGGUGCUGAAGGAACAGCUCCGCUGCGCGCCGCGGAGCGGGGCCGCCCGCAGAGGCCCGAGGGCUCGGGCGCCCAGUG